UACGUAGGUGGCGAGCGUUGUCCGGAAUUACUGGGGGUAAAGGGCGUGUAGGCGGGGAUACAAGUCAGAUGUGAAAUACCGUGGCUUAACCACGGGGCUGCAUCUGAAACUGUAUUUCUUGAGUGUCGGAGAGGAAAGUGGAAUUCCCAGUGUAGCGGUGAAAUGCGUAGAUAUUGGGAGGAACACCAGUGGCGAAGGCGACUUUCUGGACGAUAACUGACGCUGAGGCGCGAAAGCGUGGGGAGCAAACAGG
rnacentral:rRNA from 1 species